rnacentral:rRNA from 1 species
GCUGUUCAGAUAGCCAUGCAUGUCUAAGUAUAAGUAUUAUACAGCGAAACUGCGAAUGGCUCAUUAAAACAGUUAUAGUUUAUUUGAUAAUCGAAUUUACAUGGAUAACCGUGGUAAUUCUAGAGCUAAUACAUGCUGGUGUGCCCGACUUUUGUGGAAGGGCGGUAUUUAUUAGAUAACAAGCCAAUAUUCCUCUGGUCUAUUGUGGUGACUCAUAAUAACUGAUCGAAUCGCAAGGCCUAUGGCCGCGGUAAGUCAUUCAAGUUUCUGCCCCAUCAGCUUUCGAUGGUAGUGUAUUGGACUACCAUGGCGUUUACGGGUAACGGAGGAUUAGGGUUCGAUUCCGGAGAGGGAGCCUGAGAAACGGCUACCACAUCUAAGGAAGGCAGCAGGCGCGUAAAUUACCCAAUCCUGACUCAGGGAGGUAGUGACAAGAAAUAACGGACCGGGGCCUUACGGCUUCGGGAUUGCAAUGAGCCGAAUUUACACCCCUUAGCGAA